UACCAGCACCCCGAGUGGUCGGGACGUUUUAUUGGGCCUAAAGCAUCCGUAGCCGGUUCUACAAGUCUUCCGUUAAAUCCACCUGCUCAACAGAUGGGCUGCGGAAGAUACUAUGGAGCUAGGAGGCGGGAGAGGCAAGCGGUACUCGAUGGGUAGGGGUAAAAUCCGUUGAUCCAUUGAAGACCACCAGUGGCGAAGGCGGCUUGCCAGAACGCGCUCGAUGGUGAGGGAUGAAAGCUGGGGGAGCAAACCGG
rnacentral:rRNA from 1 species